rnacentral:misc_RNA from 1 species
GACCAGUUGGCCGCUGCAAAAAAACUUGUCACAGGCUUACCCAAUUUUCCGGAUAUCGACGAAACCCCAUACGACCGAGAAGGCAAAGUCCUGCUCGAUUACGACCGCGACGGCCUCGAUACGGAGGGUCUGGCCUAUAAUCCGGAGGGUGGAACGUUUUGGACCUGCGAUGAGUACCGGCCAAGCCUGGUGCAAUUCGAUGAACAUGGCACCGUCAUGCAGCGGCUGGUGGUGAAAGGCGAGGCUGUAAAGUUCGACAAUGGCACCGCAAAAGAUGCGAUUCCAGCACUCUACGUCAC